rnacentral:rRNA from 1 species
UACGGGGGGGGCAAGCGUUGUUCGGAAUUACUGGGCGUAAAGGGCUCGUAGGCGGCCAACUAAGUCAGACGUGAAAUCCCUCGGCUUAACCGGGGAACUGCAUCUGAUACUGGAUGGCUUGAGUUCGGGAGAGGGAUGCGGAAUUCCAGGUGUAGCGGUGAAAUGCGUAGAUAUCUGGAGGAACACCGGUGGCGAAGGCGGCAUCCUGGACCGACACUGACGCUGAGGAGCGAAAGCCAGGGGAGUAAACGGG